UGUCACGGACCUAAUUUCGUUACACCCGAACAACUAGAACCGUGCGGCCUUAACGCUUGACAAUUCCCGCACCUCACGAGAAAACGUUAAGU